rnacentral:lncRNA from 1 species
CCCACAAAACAGCAACCAACGUUCAACAUUCUGCACAGCUGUAGCAACGGAAAAAAAUAAAUUCUUAAGGGAUUCUUAUUGGGUUCAAGGAAAAUUUCCUAACUUAGUUGAUAUAUUUGAUUCAUAUAUGUUAUGGCUUUCGAGUUUGGAGAUUGGGAGUUUAAGAAUAAGGGAUUUCAAGUGAUAGAGAAAUCUUUAAAUUCUCAUGAACGGAGAAAUAAUAUUAGACGAUUGAAUUAUAGUUUUAUACUUUUCGAGUCAGGGAUUAAGGUAUCCUUUCCUACAUCAUUAUUGCGAUUUUGGGUAUUGAAAUUUAAUUGCCAAAGGCAAGAAUUUUGGGACAAUAAGGUGUUGUUUUGGAUACAAAGUUUGAUGAAUUAAAAGUUACAAUGAAACCUUGAGGGCUGGGUUAUCUAAUUUUACCAUGAAUUAGCCUAAAAUAAGAGAUUUAACACGAGAAUGGACAUGAUGUGAUUAUAGGUUUGAUCCAAGAAAGUGAUACGAAUCAUUCGAGGUGACAAGUUUGGUAUUUCGACACGUGUACUGUGAGUAGUAAUCUUACCAUAAUUUUUGUUUGUAAACUUGCAUAUUUUAUACUUGAUUUUGACGAAACAAUGAGUUACGAAAUGCUUUGAAAUUGCAUGUGGGGCAAGUCCUUUACUUGAUAUGAUAUUGAAAUUGUUAUUUGAGAUAUGAUAUUAUUACUGUGAAUAUUCUUCAAUUACAUUAGAAAUAUGUAUUUUGACAUGUGUUUUUAUUCAAGUUUACAUGUAACAUGAGUUGAUAUGAACUUUAAAUGAUAUAUAUUAUUCUGAAAAAUGCUUUCAUAUGAAU